rnacentral:rRNA from 1 species
AAUCAACGCUGGCGGCGUGCCUCAGACAUGCAAGUCGAACGCGAAAGUCCCCUUCGGGGGACAAGUAGAGUGGCGCACGGGUGAGUAACACGUAGGUAAUCUACCUUCGGAUGGGGAAGUAACAACCGGAAACGGUUGCUAAUACCGCAUAAUGCAGCGGCACCUAAUGGUGACAGUUGUUAAAGCGGGGGAUUGAAAGACCUCGCGUCUGAAGAGGAGCCUGCGGCGGAUUAGCUAGNGGUAAGGUAACGGCUUACCAAGGCGACGAUCCGUAACCGGCCUGAGAGGGCGGUCGGUCACACUGACACUGACAUACGGGUCAGACUCCUACGGGA